rnacentral:rRNA from 1 species
AUGUAAUGUCAUCUUCAUUUGUUAAUUACAUACAUCAUGUAAUGAUUUCCUAGUGGUCUCAAGCUCCGGCUAGAGUAGUACUAGGAUAGGUGACUGCUCGGGAAGUCCUAGUGUUUUACAUU